CUUGAGAGCGGCGGACGGGUGAGUAAUGCCUAGGAAUCUGCCUGGUAGUGGGGGAUAACGCUCGGAAACGGACGCUAAUACCGCAUACGUCCUACGGGAGAAAGCAGGGGACCUUCGGGCCUUGCGCUAUCAGAUGAGCCUAGGUCGGAUUAGCUAGUUGGUGAGGUAAUGGCUCACCAAGGCGACGAUCCGUAACUGGUCUGAGAGGAUGAUCAGUCACACUGGAACUGAGACACGGUCCAGACUCCUACGGGAGGCAGCAGUGGGGAAUAUUGGACAAUGGGCGAAAGCCUGAUCCAGCCAUGCCGCGUGUGUGAAGAAGGUCUUCGGAUUGUAAAGCACUUUAAGUUGGGAGGAAGGGCAUUAACCUAAUACGUUAGUGUUUUGACGUUACCGACAGAAUAAGCACCGGCUAACUCUGUGCCAGCAGCCGGCGGU
rnacentral:rRNA from 1 species